rnacentral:rRNA from 1 species
GGAUUAGAUACCCUGGUAGUCCAUGCCGUAAACGUUGGGCACUAGGUGUGGGGGACAUUCCACGUUUUCCGCGCCGUAGCUAACGCAUUAAGUGCCCCGCCUGGGGAGUACGGCCGCAAGGCUAAAACUCAAAGGAAUUGACGGGGGCCCGCACAAGCGGCGGAGCAUGCGGAUUAAUUCGAUGCAACGCGAAGAACCUUACCAAGGCUUGACAUGGACCGGAUCGCCGCAGAAAUGUGGUUUCUCCUUUGGGGCCGGUUCACAGGUGGUGCAUGGUUGUCGUCAGCUCGUGCUG